UACAGAGGUCUCAAGCGUUGUUCGGAUUCAUUGGGCGUAAAGGGUGCGUAGGUGGCGGGGCAAGUCAGGUGUGAAAUCUCGGGGCUCAACCCCGAAACUGCACUUGAUACUGCCUUGCUUGAGUACUGGAGAGGAGACUGGAAUUUACGGUGUAGCAGUGAAAUGCGUAGAUAUCGUAAGGAAGACCAGUGGCGAAGGCGAGUCUCUGGACAGUUACUGACACUGAGGCACGAAGGCCAGGGGAGCAAACGGG
rnacentral:rRNA from 1 species